AUUUGAAUAAUACUUCCCAGUUUCCCUUGAGGAAGAUGGUGGAUGGAAAGGGAGCCAGUGUCUUUCUGAACUCCAAAAGCUUCAGUGGGAGGUGCUGACAUAAUGCAUGGAAUCCAAAAAGCGUGAAGAGCAAAGAGGCAAAUAGCUGCAGGAUCAACAUGAGGCAACAUAGAGUAGAAAACAAAGCACCAUUUGAGUCACUGAAGAAAGAGAUUUUGCCACAGAGGGCCGCUUUGUCUAGAGAGAGGUGGCCUGUAGGACCAGGGUGGAAAACAACUGAGGUUUUAACAGAGCCAGGGCCAUUUCUCUGGCCUUGUGCUUAUGAAGAAGCAUCAACAUUGCUGGUUGAAGCUCUAACACUUCACAGAACGGGCUCUUUGGGUUGCCCUAGAAAUAAGGUAACUAAAACCCAUCAAUGACAAGAGAACCAAAUAUCAUGAGGCAGAAAAACAGGACAGAGACAUCCUGGAGCCUCCAGGGAGUUCUGGACAGCAAUGGGAAAGACCUGUGUCACUUGCCAAGGAUGGAGGAUAUUGGAACAAACUAAGCAUUGUUAUAGAACAGUGACUGGAAAACACCUGCCAAUAGAGGAGAAUCAUAGAAACAGAGGGGAGAUUGCACAAAUCCUUGAGUAAGUGCAGUCUACUGAAUGAGGGUAUAAAAUAUCCAGAACAAAAGGAGUUGGGACUCUUCCCUGAAGCUUUGAACCACAGACCAUCAGCAUGAACAAUACUGAGAAACUAUGAUCAGUUGAAGCCAUGAUUUGUCUUGGAUUAAUAAUCCUUCCCUGCUCUGAAUGACUUUCUCCUGCUAUGACUAGAAUCAUUGAAGUCCAGUGGCAAGAUGAAAGUCAAGAUGAUUGGCAAUGACCCAGCAUGCAAUGGAUGAUCUUCAAUAUCUGACUGAGCUUUAAGUGCACCACAGCAUUUGCUUCAGUCACCUUCAGGGAUGCUGGAACAAAUUUUUUCUUUGCUCCUUUCUUUUCUUCCUUUCUCCCUCCACCCUUCCUUCCCUCUCUUCCUCCAUUCCUCCUUUCCUUCCUUCUUUUUAUCAAUUGACUACCUGCUUCUUAUAAAACAUUAUACUAGGUAUGGUGAAUGAGCAAAGAAGGAUAAGCUAUCUUAUCCUUCCAGAAUUUUACAGUCUAGUCAGAGCAGAUUAGGCAAAGUAACAAUUAUAUAAAGGAGUAAAAGCCAAAAGAAAGAUGCACAAUUGUCAAUGCUGUAAAGUUACCCAUACAUAUAACCUGUAAAUAAAAGGCUAUUAAAAAAAAAUAAGAAAGAUGCACAAUUCCAAAGGUAUUUAGAUCUUAGGCUGCUUUAAGAAAAGAAUGUUCAGAAGUAGGGAAGUGGUAGUUAUUUCAUUGUCCUCUGCCUUCAUCAGACCAUACCUGGGUACCAGAUUUUAUGAGAGCAUUCACCAGACGUCAGUCAGGAAUGUGAAGCACAUGCUGAGGAUUAAUAGAAAGAAGGAAACAAAAAUUUAUUAAGUACCUACUAUGUGCCAGGUUUUGAUCCUCAGGAAAAUCCUAAGAUAGGUAUUAUUAUUAUCCCUAUUUUACAAUUUGGGGAAACUGAGGCAGACAGGCAUUAGAUGAUUUGCCCAGAGCUAUGCAGCUGGUAAGUGUAGAAGAUAAAUCAGACCUCAGGGUGAGAGGUUCAGGAAAAGAAGCAGUCACUUUCAAUUCAGUCAUCCAGGAAAGCUUCAUUAAGGAGGUGGUACUCCAUUCAAUUCAAUUCAAUAAAUGCAAAUUUAUUAGGUACUUUCCAUGGACCAGGCAUUGUGGAACACACUGGAAAUACAAGUUAAAAUGUAACCCCAGUGCCAGAACCCGUUAGUAUGAGACUCUCUUUCCUGGUAUAAACUAAUACUACAAGCCUGAAAUAAGGAGCUGGGCAGAAUUGGCAAGAGUAGGAGAGAACUCUUCAGGGUUUUUUGGUUUUUUUGUUUUUUGGUGGUGGUGGUGUUGGGGUUGUUUUGUUUUUGAAUUACUGAGUUUUCAGACAUUGUGCACUUCUGGCUCCCAGUUUUGAGACAGAAGAUGGAAGAUUGCCAACCUCAUUUCAGGAUACUGGGAAGAAGCUGAAAUGAGAGAAGCUAGCAGUCUCCAGGCCCCUAUCCCCAGCUUGAUAUACUAGAGACUUUGGGGAGUUUCCCUUUGGUUGAGAUCUAGGACUCUAUCUCUUGGAUUAGGUAAAUUACAUUUUUCCCAAAAGGAGAGCUUAUUAUUCUCUACUGUCUCUUACAUGUUCUCCUGUGUAUACUUUUUCUGAUUCUGUUUUGCUACAACAG